UACGUAGGGUGCGCGCGUUGUCCGGAAUUAUUGGGCGUAAAGAGCUCGUAGGCGGCUUGUCGCGUCGGAUGUGAAAGCCCGGGGCUUAACUCCGGGUCUGCAUUCGAUACGGGCAGGCUAGAGUUCGGUAGGGGAGAUCGGAAUUCCUGGUGUAGCGGUGAAAUGCGCAGAUAUCAGGAGGAACACCGGUGGCGAAGGCGGAUCUCUGGGCCGAUACUGACGCUGAGGAGCGAAAGCGUGGGGAGCGAACAGG
rnacentral:rRNA from 1 species